rnacentral:rRNA from 1 species
UACGUAGGGAGCAAGCGUUGUCCGGAUUUAUUGGGCGUAAAGAGCUCGUAGGCGGUUCGGUAAGUCGAAUGUGAAAUCUCCACGCUCAACGUGGAGGGGUCAUUCGAAACUACCGUGACUAGAGUCCGGUAGGGGAGUGUGGAAUUCCCGGUGUAGCGGUGAAAUGCGCAGAGAUCGGGAGGAACACCCGUAGCGAAGGCGGCACUCUGGGCCGUGACUGACGCUGAGGAGCGAAAGCGUGGGGAGCAAACAGG